UAUACUUUAGUUUAUGAUGAAUGCAGAUUUUUGAUAUCUAGGGGGAUAGUUUAAUUCUAUCAAGUAUAA
rnacentral:tRNA from 1 species